rnacentral:rRNA from 1 species
UCGCCUGUUUAUCAAAAACAUAGCUUAUUGGAUUUUUAUAAUAAGUAUUUUCUGCUCAAUGCGUUAGUAGUAAAUAGCCGCAGUAUCUUGACUGUGCAAAGGUAGCAUAAUCAUUUGUCUUUUAAUUGGGGACUGGAAUGAAUGAAAAUAAGAAGCUAAUUCUGUCUUUUUUAUUUAGGUAUAAUUUGUUGUUUUUGUGAAGAAACAGUAUUUUUAAAAAAAGACAAGAAGACCCUAUUAAGCUUCACUUUUUGAAUGGUUUGUAGUUUCUUUUUUGAGAAUUGACUAAAAAUUUUUUUAAAGUUUAGUUGGGGCGACUAAAAAGGAUAAUUAUCCUCUUUUUGAGUUAACUUAUUGACUUUUUGGUUUGAUUUAAAGAUCCAAAAAUUUUUGAUUUAGAGAAUGAGUUACUAUAGGGAU